GGCGUAAAGCGCAUGCAGGUGGUUUGUUAAGUCAGAUGUGAAAGCCCGGGGCUCAACCUCGGAAUAGCAUUUGAAACUGGCAGACUAGAGUACUGUAGAGGGGGGUAGAAUUUC
rnacentral:rRNA from 1 species